GAAGGAAGCGACUAACCACCAGUCGACUGGUUGCUAACCAUCAGAUCCGCAUGAUACUUUCGAUGGCUGAAACAACGCUUCACAUCUAGGUGCAAUCUCGCAUGCAGCGUUGCGGUGCAAUCUCCCAUACACAUAUUUUGGUUUGCAUGGAGUGCACGUCCUAUUGAACCCAAUUAACAAUGCAUGCAUGUAGAUAAGAAAAGAAGAUGAUGUCAGCAAAGAUUCCAUUAGAAAUUAAACUUCAAAAUGUUUUGUAGCUCAAACCGUUGGUCCGAUUGAAAAACCAUUUUCACAUAAAAGAUUCGUCGCGACGAAACCUUCAGAACUAGAUCACAUGUUGGUAUGUUUUGAUGAUUUUUUUGGGUGAAAAGUUACCAGACCUAGGCUAAGUAAGUUAUCACCUGUGUGGUACGUCAGUUACCAUCAUGUUUACAUGGAAAUUACCGGGGCGUAAAAAUUGCUCCUCCAACAUUCUCUCCUCAUGCAAAAACAGUAGAGCACAGAAAACUUGAUGUAAUUGUAAAUCCUCACUAUUUCGAAAAAUGUUUUAUAGCUCAAACCGUCAAUUUUGAUUGAAAAAUCAUUUUCACAUAAAAAAUCCACCACGAUGAGAACUUCAAAACUAGAUCUCGUGUUGACAUGUUUAGAUCACUUUUUUGGUCAAAAGUUACUGUAAAGUUAUCAGUUAUG
rnacentral:rRNA from 1 species